rnacentral:rRNA from 1 species
CAGUCGCCGCGGGAAUACGUAGGUGGCAAGCGUUAUCCGGAAUUAUUGGGCGUAAAGCGCGCGUAGGCGGUUUUUUAAGUCUGAUGUGAAAGCCCACGGCUCAACCGUGGAGGGUCAUUGGAAACUGGAAAACUUGAGUGCAGAAGAGGAAAGUGGAAUUCCAUGUGUAGCGGUGAAAUGCGCAGAGAUAUGGAGGAACACCAGUGGCGAAGGCGACUUUCUGGUCUGUAACUGACGCUGAUGUGCGAAAGUGUGGGGAUCAAACAGGAUUAGAUACCCGCGUAGUCCCUGUCUCUUAUAC